rnacentral:lncRNA from 1 species
ACGUCACUCCUGAAGGGUUGACAGAAUCCCAUCAAAAUUCAAGUUAAGCUAUAUAUAUAUUGUAUUCAAAGACUAGCAAUGUAGUUUGAGCUUCAUUUGUCAGUGACAAGCAGGUAUAAAUGAUAAGUUGCAUUAAGGCAGCCUUUCUAUGACAUCAGUAGGAGCAGAUAAACUUUACAUAAACAGAAACUAGAGAUGUAAAUUAUGGAAAGUGAGGGAAAUAUCCUUCUUAUAACUUUCAGCACAUAACAACUAUUAUAUAUCAUACAAGUUCACAUGCUUACUUAACAUAUUACUUGAGAUGUAAAUUAUGGAAUGCGAGGGAAAUACCCUUCUUAUAACUUUCAGCACAUAACAACUGCUAUAUAUCAUACAAGUUCACAUGGUUACUUAACAUAUUACUGCAGCACGUCACUCCUGAAGGGUUGACAGAAUCCCAUCAAAAUUCAAGUUAAGCUAUAUAUAUAUUGUAUUCAAAGACUAGCAAUGAAGUUUGAGCUUCAUUUGUCAGUGACAAGCAGGUAUAAAUGAUAAGUUGCAUUAAGGCAGCCUUUCUAUGACAUCAGUAGGAGCAGAUAAACUUUACAUAAACAGAAACUAGUGAAAUCUCUAACAAAGCAAAUGUGCAUCAACAAUAAUGUAAUUCCAAUUUCGCAAACGAGUAUUUCCAUUUUGUCGAAGAACCAAUCCAAUUCUAGGCCUUGAUUAAAAAUUGCAGAAGCCCAUAACUUCCAAGUUUAUGGCACGACGACAAAAUUAAACACAUCCCAAGGUAUGUAUAAGCUGACAAGGAAUAAGAAACUUCAAGCUGGUAUCUUAAUGGCAUGAACUGUUAUACUCAGAUAUUCUAUCCAGCAUAGAAGUGAAGAAAUUUAAGAGUUAGCAUCUUCAUGUUUGGAUUCACCACCGACGAAUAAGUCAAAAACUUUGACAGCUACCUAAAAGAGAACAAGCGAUGGAAAAUUUUCUACGCUUUCCUUUCGUUUCCAUCCUUUUCUGUAGUUUCAGAAUGUUAAGGAAAUGGACCUUAGGUCAAACUCAACCCUGAAAAACUAGCUCAUAAGGGGAAGACUGCCCAAGACCCUUUUUUUUAUAAGGUAAAUAAUUUACAACAAUUAGGAUAAACCUCGUAUACAAGCUGUACAACCAAAGAAGAGGACCUACACCAAAAAUAUAGUUCUCAAUAUAGGAGAUCCAAGCAUCUAUACAAAUAGGGACCUCAUGAGUACACCAAGAAGAAACUAGAAACAAAAGACUACUUUGUAGUUUUACAAACUCUUGUUCUACUCCUUCAAAUGCCCUCUUAUUUCUCUUUCCAAAUAACCCAUAUGAUUGCAAUGGGGGUAACACUCCAUGCCCUUGGACUUCUCUCUGCCCUCUUGUGAGCCCAACUAUCCAACGCCUUCUUCACUAAACCUGGCAUCACUCAUCGCACCCCAAACAAAUUAAUAACCACCUGCCACAAACGGUUAGCCACUUGAAAAUGCAAUAGUAGAUAAUCUGCAUGUUCAUCCGAGCUUUUACACAUGAAGCACCAACUGGCAUACGAGAUCAUCACUUUUCUCAGAUUUUCUGAUGUCAAAAUCACUUCCCUAUUACUUCCCUUGUCACCAACCACACAAAGAAACAUCCCUUUCGUGGUGCUCUGGGAAUCCAAGUAGAGCAAUGAGGGAAAAUCCAAUCCUCUCACUAAUAACCUCUUACAAAUGAGAUUUGACAGUGGAUAAUCCAUCUAUACUCUAUUGCCUAAGACCAUACAAGGAGACUAUAGUCUAUUCUCUCAACUAAUAUGAAACAUUAAACACAGGGCCCCCCACGCCCAAGGGUGGACAUCUGUAGUGCGGACACAUAACAUGGAAUCCAACGUUCCAUAAACCAAGAAUUGAGAUGGGCCCGACUCUGAUACCAUACUAAGAAAAUAAACCUUGGGCCUAACUCAAUCAAAAGGAGCCAGCCCAACACCUGAGGACUAUCCAAGAUUAUAUAAAGAGACAACUACUCAUUACCUUAACCAAUGUGGGACUACUUAACAUAGAAACAAGGCUGAGACAAAAAAGCAAGACUAAAUUUUCCUCGAGGGAAUGGAUGGGGAGGAAAUUCCAGGAAAGCACAUUACUUUCAUGGCGCAACAAGCACACAAGCUAAACUACUCUAGCAAUGAACGUACUGAUCGAACGGAUCAUCUGUGUAAUUCACCCUCUCAUACCAAAUUGGUGAUGCCUAGCAAUAUUGUUGAGUUGUACCACAUCGGAGGGAUUUGAGGUCAUUGGUCUCCUUAUAUGGCUUGGGCAAUCCUCACCUCAUANNNN